rnacentral:piRNA from 1 species
UCAGAUGUCCUUCCUCCUUACAGGACCAUGC